CUACGGAGGGGGUUAGCGUUGUUCGGAAUUACUGGGCGUAAAGCGCACGUAGGCGGAUUGGAAAGUUGGGGGUGAAAUCCCAGGGCUCAACCCUGGAACUGCCUCCAAAACUAACAGUCUAGAGUUCGAGAGAGGUGAGUGGAAUUCCAAGUGUAGAGGUGAAAUUCGUAGAUAUUUGGAGGAACACCAGUGGCGAAGGCGGCUCACUGGCUCGAUACUGACGCUGAGGUGCGAAAGCGUGGGGAGCAAACAGGAUUAGAAACCCUAGUAGUCC
rnacentral:rRNA from 1 species